AACAAACGCUGGCGGCGUGCCUAACACAUGCAAGUCGUACGAGAAAGUCGGCUUCGGCCGAUGAGUACAGUGGCGCACGGGUGAGUAGCGCGUGGGUAAUCUGCCCCCCGGUCAGGAAUAACCCGCCGAAAGGCGGGCUAAUACCCGAUAACACUGACGCUCUGCGGGGUGUCUUUCAAAGAAGGCCUCUGUUUACAAGCUUUCGCCGGAGGAUGAGCCCGCGUACCAUUAGCUAGUUGGCAGGGUAAUGGCCUACCAAGGCAACGAUGGUUCGCUGGUCUGAGAGGAUGGCCAGCCAGACUGGAACUGAGACACGGUCCAGACUCCUACGGGAGGCAGCAGUGAGGAAUCUUGCGCAAUGGGGGAAACCCUGACGCAGCAACGCCGCGUGAGUGAAGAAGGCUUUCGGGUCGUAAAGCUCUGUCAGAUGGGAAGAAAUGGAUGGGGGCUAAUAUCGUCCAUCCUUGACGGUACCAUCAGAGGAAGCACCGGCUAACUCCGUGCCAGCAGCCGCGGUAACAC
rnacentral:rRNA from 1 species